CGGUGGAGCAUGUGGUUUAAUUCGAAGCAACGCGAAGAACCUUAACCAGGUCUUGACAUCCCGAUGCUAUUUCUAGAGAUAGAAAGUUACUUCGGUACAUCGGUGACAGGUGGUGGCAUGGUGUCGUCAGCUCGUGUCGUGAGAUGUUGGGUUAAGUCCCGCAACGAGCGCAACCCCUAUUGUUAGUUGCCAUCAUUCAGUUGGGCACUCUAGCGAGACUGCCGGUAAUAAACCGGAGGAAGUGGGGAUGACGUCAAAUCAUCAUGCCCCUUAUGACCUGGGCUACACACGUGCUACAAUGGUUGGUACAACGAGUUGCGAGUCGGUGACGGCGAGCUAAUCUCUUAAAGCCAAUCUCAGUUCGGAUUGUAGGCUGCAACUCGCCUACAUGAAGUCGGAAUCGCUAGUAAUCGCGGAUCAGCACGCCGCGGUCGAAUACGUUCCCGGGCCUU
rnacentral:rRNA from 1 species